GAGUUUGAUCCUGGCUCAGAGUGAACGCUGGCGGCAGGCCUAACACAUGCAAGUCGAGCGGCAGCGCGGGGGCAACCCUGGCGGCGAGCGGCGGACGGGUGAGGAAUGCAUCGGAAUCUACCUCGUUGUGGGGGAUAACCUCGGGAAACCGGGACUAAUACCGCAUACGACCUACGGGUGAAAGUGGGGGACCGCAAGGCCUCACGCGAUGAGAUGAGCCGAUGCCGGAUUAGCUAGUUGGCGGGGUAAAGGCCCACCAAGGCGACGAUCCGUAGCUGGUCUGAGAGGAUGAUCAGCCACACUGGAACUGAGACACGGUCCAGACUCCUACGGGAGGCAGCAGUGGGGAAUAUUGGACAAUGGGCGCAAGCCUGAUCCAGCCAUGCCGCGUGUGUGAAGAAGGCC
rnacentral:rRNA from 1 species